GUGGGGAAUAUUGGACAAUGGGCGAAAGCCUGAUCCAGCCAUGCCGCGUGCAGGAUGAAGGCCUUCGGGUUGUAAACUGCUUUUGCACGGAACGAAAAGACUCCUUCUAAUAAAGGGGGUCCAUGACGGUACCGUAAGAAUAAGCACCGGCUAACUACGUGCCAGCAGCCGCGGUAAUACGUAGGGUGCAAGCGUUAAUCGGAAUUACUGGGCGUAAAGCGUGCGCAGGCGGUUAUAUAAGACAGAUGUGAAAUCCCCGGGCUCAACCUGGGGACUGUGUUUGUGACUGUAUAGCUCGAGUACGGUAGAGGGGGAUUGAAUUCCGCGUGUAGCAGUGAAAUGCGUAGAUAUGCGGAGGAACACCGAAGGCGAAGGCAAUCCCCUUGACCUGUACUGACGCUCAUGCACGAAAGCGUGGGGAGCAAACAGGAUUAGAAACCCUAGUAGUCC
rnacentral:rRNA from 1 species